UACGUAUGGUGCAAGCGUUAUCCGGAUUUACUGGGCGUAAAGGGAGCGCAGGCGGCGCGCCAAGUCUGAUGUGAAACCCCGGGGCUCAACCCCGGGCAUGCAUUGGAAACUGGCGGGCUGGAGUGCCGGAGAGGUAAGCGGAAUUCCUAGUGUAGCGGUGAAAUGCGUAGAUAUUAGGAGGAACACCAGUGGCGAAAGCGGCUCUCUGGUCUGUAACUGACGCUGAGGUUCGAAAGCGUGGGUAGCAAACAGG
rnacentral:rRNA from 1 species